rnacentral:misc_RNA from 1 species
GAAAAAUAGCUUAUUUAUUCCAGACAUGUAAAUCAUAUUAGAAACAGUACAACUAAAGACACAAAAAAAAUCGCGAUGUCUCAAGAAAGAGUAAUGGCACUUCCGCAUAGUUUUUCUAGUUCGUCUUCCAAAACCUUUUGCAGGUUUGCCUUGGUUCGCCUAUAGAUCCAACCUUGUGAGCUCUGAUCCCAAUCAAACCUUGAGGGACCGCUCACUGGUGAAGACAUCCAAAUCUGCCUAUUUGGCGUCUGUUUGUUUAUCACGUAGGUUCCCAGGCUCCCAAGCUUCAGCGUUAAAACCUCAUUCCCAUAAUCCACAUCAAAACCAUCAAUGUCAACUGAGUCCCCAUAUUCCUCCAACUUAUCUAGCAAGUCAUGGAUAGUGGCAUUAGCCAGUCUGUGAUACUCAUCUUCCUGCAGCAGAGAUCGGUAAUCGAUAGCAGCAGGACCUUCAGAAGCAUCUUGAAGAGGUGACGAGCGGGAACAAUAGCUUCUACAAACUUCUGAAAGUAACGAUUUGGAUAUAAUGGUCGAAGGUUCUAGAAGAUAUUUAUGCGUAGAAGCAGAAAGAAAUGAUCUUUGUAUUAAUGAAGAAGAAUUAGGUUUGAGAGCUCUGCAUAGCGAUUUGCGAAGUAGAAGCAGCUUCCGUGAACAAGAAGAAGCCAUUUUUGCUCUUUACAACAGUUUCCACUUCCU